GUCCUGUGAAGUGACUCUUUGGCAUAGCCUGUCUUUAAUCCACGUUUGCCACAAAAGGAAAGAGCGUACCGUCAAGGAGUGCUUCUUGCUCACAUCAGAGAAGCUUGUAAGCAAUCAAAGUCAUCCUAAGAUCACAAUUGGAAACUGAAAGACUGGAAGGAAGCUGGUGAUCAAACGUAUUUUCCACUGUGGCAAGGGCUGUAUGAAGACACUAGAAGACAGAUGCUGCUGUAUGAGCUUAUGAUCCGUAAUACUGAACACGAGGCAGACAGCUGCCCUGAGGCAUUCUCCGUAAAAACUUUCAUAUCACAACGGAACUGAACGUACCAUUGUAACACCACGUCUCCUCUUCUUCACGGUAAGAAUUGUUCUGAAAACCAGGCAAUGUCAUGGAAAUGUUAUAAUAGACACAUCCAGAAUAUAUGGGUGAGCUAGUCGUCCCCAGUGAUAUAUUUAAGCUGCUCCUUCUACUAUACGUAGAGUAGGUUAAAUAUAAUUAACAUUGGUCAAAAGGUC
rnacentral:lncRNA from 1 species